rnacentral:rRNA from 1 species
GCCAUCAGGUAAUGCUGGGGACUCUAAAGGAACUGCCUACGCAAGUAGUGAGGAAGGCGGGGAGUGACGUCAAAUCAGCACGGCCCUUACGUCCAGGGCUACACACGUGCUACAAUGGCCGAUACAGAGGGCAGCUACCUGGUGACAGGAUGCAAAUCUCCAAAGUCGGUCUCAGUUCGGAUCGGAGUCUGCAACCCGACUCCGUGAAGUUGGAUUCGCUAGUAAUCGCGCAUCAGCCAUGGCGCGGUGAAUACGUUCCCGGGCCUU